rnacentral:rRNA from 1 species
UACAGGGGGUGCAAACGUUGCUCGGAAUUAUUGGGCGUAAAGAGCUCGUAGGCGGUUUGUCGCGUCUGCCGUGAAAGUCCGGGGCUCAACUCCGGAUCUGCGGUGGGUACGGGGCAGACUAGAGUGAUGUAGGGGGAGACUGGAAUUCCUGGUGUAGCGGUGAAAUGCGCAGAUAUCAGGAGGAACACCGAUGGCGAAGGCAGGUCUCUGGGCAUUAACUGACGCUGAGGAGCGAAAGCAUGGGGAGCGAACAGG